AUUGAACGCUGGCGGCAGGCCUAACACAUGCAAGUCGAGCGGAUGAAGGGAGCUUGCUCCUGGAUUCAGCGGCGGACGGGUGAGUAAUGCCUAGGAAUCUGCCUGGUAGUGGGGGAUAACGUCCGGAAACGGGCGCUAAUACCGCAUAUGUCCUGAGGGAGAAAGUGGGGGAUCUUCGGACCUCACGCUAUCAGAUGAGCCUAGGUCGGAUUAGCUAGUUGGUGGGGUAAAGGCCUACCAAGGGGACGAUCCGUAACUGGUCUGAGAGGAUGAUCAGUCACACGGGAAGUGAGACACGGUCAAGAGUACUAAGGGAGGCAGCAGUGGGGAACAGUGGACAGUGGGCGAAAGCCUGAUCCAGCCAUGCCGAGUGUGUGAAGAAGGUCUUCGGAUUGUAAAGCACGUUAAGGUGGGAGGAAGGGCAGUAAGUUAAGACCUUGCUGUUUUGACGUUACCAACAGAAUAAGCACCGGCUAACUUCGUG
rnacentral:rRNA from 1 species